rnacentral:rRNA from 1 species
UAACCGAGCACGUACGUGCAUAUUGAAUCAGUGCGUCCAGUAGCAUAUCCGCUGGAGUCGCCAGCUAACUAAGAUCGGGCGCCACGCGAGAUUGCUAUUGACGACGAAACUGACAGCUGACAUACCCGAAGUUAGAUGUCCCCCUUGUGUCGGUGUACAGUGGUGCAUGCUGUGUCAGCUCGUGUCGUAGAUGUUGGGUUAAGUCCCGCAACGAGCGCAACCCUUGUCCCGUGUUGCCAGCAGGCCCUUGUGGUGCUGGGGACUCACGGGAGACCGCCGGGGUCAACUCGGAGAAGGUGGGGACGACGUCAAGUCAUCAUGCCCCUUAUGUCUUGGGCUGCACACGUGCUACAAUGGCCGGUACAAUGAGCUGCGAUACCGCGAGGUGGAGCGAAUCUCAAAAAGCCGGUCUCAGUUCGGAUUGGGGUCUGCAACUCGACCCCAUGAAGUCGGAGUCGCUAGUAAUCGCAGAUCAGCAUUGCUGCGGUGAAUACGUUCCCGGGCCUUGUACACACCGCCCGUCACGUCACGAAAGUCGGUAACACCCGAAGCCGGUGGCCCAACCCCUUGUGGGAGGGAGCUGUCGAAGGUGGGACUGGCGAUUGGGACGAAGUCGUAGC